GCCAGAUGUGGUGGCGCACACCUGUAAUCCUAGUGGUUUGGGAGGCUGAGGCAGGAGGAUCGCAAGUUCAAAGCCAGCCUCAGCAACUUAGUGAGAACCUGUCUCAA
rnacentral:sRNA from 1 species